ACAAGGGGGGGUACACCCUGGACAGGGUGUCAAUCCAUCGCAGGGCACACAAUCACACACACACACACACAUUCAUACUCUAUGGACACUUUAGACAUGCCAAUCAACCUAUCAUGCAAGUCUUUGGACUGGGGGAGGAAACCGGAGUACCCGGAGGAAACCCCCGCAGCACGGGGAGAACAUGCAAACUCCACGCACACAGACCCGUGGGAAUCGAACCCCUGAUCCUGGCGGUGUGAGUUCAUAGAGCCAUAGACUCCCAGUGGGAUAGAAGAAGAAGAAGAAGAAGAAGAAGAAAACUAAUGGAUACAAUAGGUGCCUAGGCACCUUCGGUGCUUGGCCCCUAAAUAUAACUGCAAGCAGCAAUACCAGGGUCAAGCCAAUUAUUGGCACCAUGAGCAGCAAAGAAGCUUUGUGACAUUUUUGGUUAGAGUCCGAUUAACAGUGUAUUAGGAUUAAGUAAAAGUAAACUUUCAAUCAUAAAAAAACAUUUAUUUUAAAAACAACUGAAAAUAGCUACUUCUUAGAAUUUUU
ensembl:lncRNA